GGGUCGUUAGCUCAGCCGGUAGAGCACCGGACUUUUAAUCCGUUGGUCGCGCGUUCGAACCGCGCACGACCCACCA
rnacentral:tRNA from 1 species